AUAUCAGUCAUGCAUAGCAUAUCAAUAAGCGGAGGAAAAGAAACUAACAAGGAUUCCCUUAGUAACGGCGAGUGAAGCGGGAAGAGCUCAAAUUUGAAAUCUUCAAGGUUUUACCUUGACGAAUUGUAGUUUAAAGAAGUGUUUUCUGUUGAAGCUUUGGUAAAAGUUCUUUGGAAUAGGACAUCAUAGAGGGUGAGAAUCCCGUAUUUGACCAUUACUUUCAGCUUUGUGAUACACUUUCAAAGAGUCGGAUUGUUUGGGAAUGCAGUCCAAAAUGGGUGGUAAAUUUCAUCUAAAGCUAAAUAUUGGCGAGAGACCGAUAGCGAACAAGUACCGUGAGGGAAAGAUGAGAAGAACUUUGAAAAGAGAGUUAAACAGUACGUGAAAUUGUCAAAAGGGAAGCGUUUGACACCAGUGUUGUUUUCUCGAAAAUCAAUUAAAAAGAGUUGGAUUUUGUGUUGUAUUGACUUUAUCGGCUUUCUUCACCUCUUUUCCAGCUUUUUUUAAUGCACUUUUCGUUUAACAAGUCAACAUCAGUUUCUUUUGUUGUAAAAAGGUCAUUGGAAGGUGGCUUUCUCUUCGGAGAAAGUGUUUAUAGCCUUUGACUCAUGCAAUCGGAGAGACUGAGGUCUGCAGCGUAGAUCCUUCGGGGUUAGAUACAUUUGUGCUAAGUUAUAGCUUUUCAUAGACAACUUGUUGACUAUGUUUAGUCUUGUAGCUUACUCGCUUAUGCUAUUUUACCUACGCUUAGGAUGUUGAACUCUAUCACACACA
rnacentral:rRNA from 1 species